CCUACGGGUGGCAGCAGUGGGGGAUAUUGCACAAUGGGGGAAACCCUGAUGCAGCGACGCCGCGUGAGGGAAGACGGCCUUCGGGUUGUAAACCUCUGUCGCAGGGGACGAAGGAAGUGACGGUACCCUGUGAGGAAGCCACGGCUAACUACGUGCCAGCAGCGGCGGUAAUACGUAGGUGGCUGGCUUUGUUCGGAAUUACUGGGGGUAAAGGGAGCGUAGGCGGAAGUGGAAGUUGAAGGUAAAACCUAUCGGCUCAACUGAGAGAAGCGUUCAAAACUGCACUUCUUGAGUGAAGUAGAGGCAGGCGGAAUUCCUAGUGUAGCGGUGAAAUGCGUAGAUAUCAGGAGGAACACUAGUGGCGAAGGCGGCCUGCUGGGCUUUAACUGACGCUGAGGCUCGAAAGCGUGGGUAGCAAACAGGAUUAGAUACCCUAGUAGUC
rnacentral:rRNA from 1 species